ACUUUUAUUUGUGUACAUUCACAAUAAAGAAAAUAAACAGGGUGUAUUUUAAACAUCUCUGUCUUCACCAGCUGUCUCUCAAAACAAAAAUCAAUUGAAACUCUGUGAAUACUCAUUGCACAAGGAUGAUACAUCGAUCUAAAGAAAGCCGGAAAUGUCUACUUUUAAACAAACUAAUUAUAAUCGAAAACAAACAUUGUUGAUAUAAUUUGUUUUGAAGUUGAGAGUACCGUUUUUCCUGGCUGACCUCAUUAUCGGUAAUAAAGUCACGCCCACAGGCGGUACCCACUAUUUAUUUGGUAAUGACUAGGCGAACAGUUCAAAGCAUAAAGUUUUAUCAGAUGCGGGCUUCGGAUUGAAAAACAGUCAGUUUGCAAACGAUGAAGGGUUUAUCCACGUGGCUUGUAAUUCUGUAAUGUCUUGCAGUUUAGGCACAGAAAUGCUCAGUAAGAUUUGCUAUCAUGUAUCCUUCAUGGCAACUUUCAGUAUGGCUGCACACUACAGGAUAUUUAAAGUAUGUGCUGUAAUAUGAUUCCAUACAUUGCGCAAUACAUGUGACACCAUUGUUUACGCGUGAUGAGAUGCAAGUACGUAUGCAAUGUGUUUUUAAACAGUUUAUACACACUUACAGAAACACGCAUUACAACAUUGUUAAAAAAAGAAGCUAGGCAAUCAGUUGAUGGGCAUCUGAAAACAGCUUUUUAUAUAACUAACACUGCAGAUGAGAUGUUCUGAAUUUAGUUUAUUUAACUUGCAUGAUAGUUUAUCUGAAUUUAGUGCUAUCAGUGAUAUUUAGUAUCAGUUAUGUAUGUAGGCUUAAUGUGGUAGUUUUGUGGACAAUAUAUGCUAACAGCUGUUUAUAACUUUUUCAGGUCUGCAUCCCUCUCAGCUGAUACAUUACUACACUGCAAAAAAGAUGAAGUUGAAAGAGAUAUUCACACUUUUGGACAUUAAAGUUAUAUUGCAACAUUAACAACAUGAAGUUUAUGUAACAGCUCAUAACAGAGAUCUGCUGGGUUUCAGUUUUUUAGCAUUGCUUGGAUAAAGACCUUGGAAAUGCCAGUCAUGGUGAUGUUCACUUGUAUCUUAAGGAACUGUUUUCCAAACUGACACAAAGUUGUCUGCCAAAAUGUAUGUGUACAAAAUGUACAUUUGAUACUUAUUAUUUAUACUUUGAUUUUAUUCUCUGCUAUUUUGUUAUUAAACUACAAGCAAAACAUUGUCUUAUUAAGUCUUCUCAAAUUUAUUAUAGCACAACAUUCCUCAUUGAGACAUUAGGGGGUUGGGUCUUUAUCUCUUGAUGUGAAUCACAUCAAUAUUCAUGACCAUUGACCCUCCCUUGUGUGGCAGUAUACGCUGACAUAAGGGGUUAAUGGUAAUUAGCAACUCUGGGAGAGCCUCGUUAUGUAUGAUAUAAAAGGGGUGAACUUGUGCCACCCGGAUGUGCGUCAUCUAAACGUUACCGUUUCAGGGUGACCGUGUGCCACCCGGAUCUGCGUCAUCUAAGCGCUGCAGUUUUGUUUGGUUGCCGGUGUAUCGUGGCUUGAGAGUGGACUGAGAAAAUGCAGGGCGUGUGAACAGCUGGCACGUUGUUAAUCUGUGCGGCGGUCUCAUUCACGGAGACGCCUGGAGCGUGUUGUGGUGGGCUGACGGACUGGGUUUAUUGCUUAUACUGCUGCGGGUUGUGCUGGGUUGUUUCCCCCCGCUAUGCGUGUGCGUUAUCCACCCUGUGCUGCUCCGUUUGGAUUUGAUUAAGAUACCUACACUGUUAUUCCCCUUUGCUGAUCUUCCAACUGCCUGUGGUUGUGGAUAGAUCGGUUUACCUGUUGUUUCCGGACCAACUCUUCACUCCCUGACUGUCUGUGUUAAUUUCAGCCUAAGCUGAUUAUUAUUACUGUGAUCCGUAUCGAUCCAGGACGUGUAUUUCUACUCCAAAUAAUACGAUUGACGUCCGUCUACUUUUCAGUAACCACUUUCUUGAGAAAUUGUAAAUGUUUUUCUUUAUUUUUGUGAUUUAAAGUUUCUUUUCUUUUUUUCUUAAUUGUUUUGGUUGUUUAAAUGUAUAUAUUUAGUUAAGUCAUUACUAUUUGUUUAGUUUCUUUCUGUUUGGAGUUUUGUUUAAAGUAUUUAUCUUCAUACACUUGUCUGCAUUAUUUGCCAGCGGGGCUGAAGUUCCCUUUGUCCCCGACGUGGCGUGCUUUUCCAGAUACGGUUACAGUCGGUUAAGGAUGUGUGUAAAUGUGCAUGUGGUAUUUGAGUAUAUGCACAUCUGAGUAUUUAUUGUGAAACUGUCCGGCUGAUAAGCGGUAGAUUUGUAGUUCCUGUUUGCUUUCAGCCGGGACUGUUUGCUUUACUGCUUUACCGUUUGAUAAAGUGUAUGAAGGUGUUUUUGAUAUUGUGUGUUCUAUUUUUUUAUUAGAAUUGGGGCGUCAGAAACAGAAGAAUUAGGAGUUGUUUCCCUUCACUCUCGGUGGUGGUACUCUUCCUCACUGAUUGCCGUGCUCCAUUUUGAGGUGCAGUGUGUCUGUGCUUGUGUGCACGUGUGGUGGAUGCGUAUUUUGCUGUGGCUUUUCUCUUUAUUCCAGAUAGGAGAGUUGUGGACUUAUUCCUGAGAGGAGCUGGAUGCCGAUCCCCAAUUUGUGUGUUUAUUAUAAUUGAAUUAAAAUCUAUUUUUGUGAAUGUGUUGGUGAUGUGCUAUGAAGUGCAUCUGUGCUUUAUUAAUGUUAAAUAAACUAUUUUUUUAUAUAAGCUUUGUGUCUCAUACCUGACCCCACCAAAUUGAACCUGUGAGCUUUAUUCUGGUCGAGAGUAAAAUCCCCUUUAACCAACUUGGGGUGGCGUAGUCGGUCUUAAAUGGGCAGCUAAUCUGGUUGCCCUUUACCAGUGUUAUAAUUUUCUAUCUGCCACAUUUGCAUAUUACCUUUACACAAGAUUAAGUGUCUUACAAAAGUUAAAUUGAUAUAUUGUUUCAUGUGAAUGAAUAGAUGAAAUGGUUUUCACAUCUUUUUGUAGCAAAUUCCCAACUCUACAAGAUCCAGUAUUGAUUGUGAACAAAUGUUUAGUUUGUGUUUUUUGGCCUUAUUUCAGCAACUUUUAAUAUUGUUAUUUCUUCAAAAUACAAACAGGUGCAUACAUGUUACGCACACAUAGUUGCACCACAGUUUGUGCUGAAU